rnacentral:rRNA from 1 species
GGGUUGUGAGGUUAAGCGACUAAGCGUACACGGUGGAUGCCCUGGCAGUCAGAGGCGAUGAAGGACGUGCUAAUCUGCGAUAAGCGUCGGUAAGGUGAUAUGAACCGUUAUAACCGGCGAUUUCCGAAUGGGGAAACCCAGUGUGAUUCGUCACACUAUCAUUAACUGAAUCCAUAGGUUAAUGAGGCGAACCGGGGGAACUGAAACAUCUAAGUACCCCGAGGAAAAGAAAUCAACCGAGAUUCCCCCAGUAGCGGCGAGCGAACGGGGAGGAGCCCAGAGCCUGAAUCAGUGUGUGUGUUAGUGGAAGCGUCUGGAAAGGCGCGCGAUACAGGGUGACAGCCCCGUACACAAAAAUGCACAUGCUGUGAGCUCGAUGAGUAGGGCGGGACACGUGGUAUCCUGUCUGAAUAUGGGGGGACCAUCCUCCAAGGCUAAAUACUCCUGACUGACCGAUAGUGAACCAGUACCGUGAGGGAAAGGCGAAAAGAACCCCGGCGAGGGGAGUGAAAAAGAACCUGAAACCGUGUACGUACAAGCAGUGGGAGCACAGAGCAAUCUGUGUGACUGCGUACCUUUUGUAUAAUGGGUCAGCGACUUAUAUUCUGUAGCAAGGUUAACCGAAUAGGGGAGCCGAAGGGAAACCGAGUCUUAACCGGGCGUUAAGUUGCAGGGUAUAGACCCGAAACCCGGUGAUCUAGCCAUGGGCAGGUUGAAGGUUGGGUAACACUAACUGGAGGACCGAACCGACUAAUGUUGAAAAAUUAGCGGAUGACUUGUGGCUGGGGGUGAAAGGCCAAUCAAACCGGGAGAUAGCUGGUUCUCCCCGAAAGCUAUUUAGGUAGCGCCUCGUGAAUUCAUCUCCGGGGGUAGAGCACUGUUUCGGCAAGGGGGUCAUCCCGACUUACCAACCCGAUGCAAACUGCGAAUACCGGAGAAUGUUAUCACGGGAGACACACGGCGGGUGCUAACGUCCGUCGUGAAGAGGGAAACAACCCAGACCGCCAGCUAAGGUCCCAAAGUCAUGGUUAAGUGGGAAACGAUGUGGGAAGGCCCAGACAGCCAGGAUGUUGGCUUAGAAGCAGCCAUCAUUUAAAGAAAGCGUAAUAGCUCACUGGUCGAGUCGGCCUGCGCGGAAGAUGUAACGGGGCUAAACCAUGCACCGAAGCUGCGGCAGCGACACUGUGUGUUGUUGGGUAGGGGAGCGUUCUGUAAGCCUGUGAAGGUGUACUGUGAGGUAUGCUGGAGGUAUCAGAAGUGCGAAUGCUGACAUAAGUAACGAUAAAGCGGGUGAAAAGCCCGCUCGCCGGAAGACCAAGGGUUCCUGUCCAACGUUAAUCGGGGCAGGGUGAGUCGACCCCUAAGGCGAGGCCGAAAGGCGUAGUCGAUGGGAAACAGGUUAAUAUUCCUGUACUUGGUGUUACUGCGAAGGGGGACGGAGAAGGCUAUGUUGGCCGGGCGACGGUUGUCCCGGUUUAAGCGUGUAGGCUGGUUUUCCAGGCAAAUCCGGAAAAUCAAGGCUGAGGCGUGAUGACGAGGCACUACGGUGCUGAAGCAACAAAUGCCCUGCUUCCAGGAAAAGCCUCUAAGCAUCAGGUAACAUCAAAUCGUACCCCAAACCGACACAGGUGGUCAGGUAGAGAAUACCAAGGCGCUUGAGAGAACUCGGGUGAAGGAACUAGGCAAAAUGGUGCCGUAACUUCGGGAGAAGGCACGCUGAUAUGUAGGUGAAGUCCCUCGCGGAUGGAGCUGAAAUCAGUCGAAGAUACCAGCUGGCUGCAACUGUUUAUUAAAAACACAGCACUGUGCAAACACGAAAGUGGACGUAUACGGUGUGACGCCUGCCCGGUGCCGGAAGGUUAAUUGAUGGGGUCAGCGCAAGCGAAGCUCUUGAUCGAAGCCCCGGUAAACGGCGGCCGUAACUAUAACGGUCCUAAGGUAGCGAAAUUCCUUGUCGGGUAAGUUCCGACCUGCACGAAUGGCGUAAUGAUGGCCAGGCUGUCUCCACCCGAGACUCAGUGAAAUUGAACUCGCUGUGAAGAUGCAGUGUACCCGCGGCAAGACGGAAAGACCCCGUGAACCUUUACUAUAGCUUGACACUGAACAUUGAGCCUUGAUGUGUAGGAUAGGUGGGAGGCUUUGAAGUGUGGACGCCAGUCUGCAUGGAGCCGACCUUGAAAUACCACCCUUUAAUGUUUGAUGUUCUAACGUGGACCCGUGAUCCGGGUUGCGGACAGUGUCUGGUGGGUAGUUUGACUGGGGCGGUCUCCUCCUAAAGAGUAACGGAGGAGCACGAAGGUUGGCUAAUCCUGGUCGGACAUCAGGAGGUUAGUGCAAUGGCAUAAGCCAGCUUGACUGCGAGCGUGACGGCGCGAGCAGGUGCGAAAGCAGGUCAUAGUGAUCCGGUGGUUCUGAAUGGAAGGGCCAUCGCUCAACGGAUAAAAGGUACUCCGGGGAUAACAGGCUGAUACCGCCCAAGAGUUCAUAUCGACGGCGGUGUUUGGCACCUCGAUGUCGGCUCAUCACAUCCUGGGGCUGAAGUAGGUCCCAAGGGUAUGGCUGUUCGCCAUUUAAAGUGGUACGCGAGCUGGGUUUAGAACGUCGUGAGACAGUUCGGUCCCUAUCUGCCGUGGGCGCUGGAGAACUGAGGGGGGCUGCUCCUAGUACGAGAGGACCGGAGUGGACGCAUCACUGGUGUUCGGGUUGUCAUGCCAAUGGCACUGCCCGGUAGCUAAAUGCGGAAGAGAUAAGUGCUGAAAGCAUCUAAGCACGAAACUUGCCCCGAGAUGAGUUCUCCCUGACCCUUUAAGGGUCCUGAAGGAACGUUGAAGACGACGACGUUGAUAGGCCGGGUGUGUAAGCGCAGCGAUGCGUUGAGCUAACCGGUACUAAUGAACCGUGAGGCUUAACCUUACAACGCCGAAGGUGUUU